rnacentral:rRNA from 1 species
AUUGAACGCUGGCGGCAUGCUUUACACAUGCAAGUCGAACGGUAACAGGCCGCAAGGUGCUGACGAGUGGCGAACGGGUGAGUAAUGCAUCGGAACGUGCCCAGUCGUGGGGGAUAACUACUCGAAAGAGUAGCUAAUACCGCAUACGAUCUAUGGAUGAAAGCGGGGGACCGUAAGGCCUCGCGCGAUGGGAGCGGCCGAUGUCAGAUGAGGUAGAUGGUGGGGUAAAGGCUCACCAAGCCAACGAUCUGUAGCUGGUCUGAGAGGACGACCAGCCACACUGGGACUGAGACACGGCCCAGACUCCUACGGGAGGCAGCAGUGGGGAAUUUUGGACAAUGGGCGCAAGCCUGAUCCAGCAAUGCCGAGUGCAGGACGAAGGCCUUCGGGUUGUAAACUGCUUUUGUACGGAACGAAACGGCUCUGGUUAAUACCCGGGGCUAAUGACGGUACCGUAAGAAUAAGCACCGGCUAACUACGUG